rnacentral:rRNA from 1 species
AUUAAACGCUGGCGGCAUGCCUUACACAUGCAAGUCGAACGGCAGCACGGGGGCAACCCUGGUGGCGAGUGGCGGACGGGUGAGUAACACAUCGGAACGUGCCCUGGAGUGGGGGAUAACGCAGCGAAAGCUACGCUAAUACCGCAUAUUCUGUGAGCAGGAAAGCAGGGGAUCGCAAGACCUUGCGCUUUGGGAGCGGCCGAUGUCGGAUUAGCUAGUUGGUGGGGUAAAGGCUUACCAAGGCGACGAUCCGUAGCGGGUCUGAGAGGAUGAUCCGCCACACUGGGACUGAGACACGGCCCAGACUCCUACGGGAGGCAGCAGUGGGGAAUUUUGGACAAUGGGCGGAAGCCUGAUCCAGCCAUGCCGCGUGAGUGAAGAAGGCCUCGGUUGGUAAAGACGUCUUUCGGUGGGGUAAGGAAAGUUAGCUUGGGUUAAGUACCCUGAGUAGAUGA